UCUUUACUCCCUCGGAGAGACAGCACUUUGGUAAGAAUCAAACAGCACGGGAAGGAGAGGAAAGGGAAGCGCUUGCAGCCAGACUUGCUUACAGUUGCUCAUCCGGGUUUUUACCCGGUGCACUCUUCUGUAGGCAGGCCAGCAUCAGUUUGGGCGGUAGGAUAAAGGUCUCUGUCACGUACCUCCUUUCGGGGAGGCCUUAUAGGGGAGACGACAUACUACCAGCCUGGACUGAGGUCCGCGCAUCUGCUAGGAUGCUGGCGUAAUGGCUGUAAGCGGCCCGUCUUGAAACACGGACCAAGAAC
rnacentral:rRNA from 1 species